rnacentral:rRNA from 1 species
ACGAACGCUGGCGGCGUGCUUAACACAUGCAAGUCGAACGGUGAAGCGCCUUCCUUUUUGGUGGGUGUGGAUGAGUGGCGAACGGGUGAGUAACACGUGAGUAACCUGCCCCCUUCUUCUGGAUAACCGCAUGAAAGUGUGGCUAAUACGGGAUAUUCUGGGUCUGUCGCAUGAUGGGUCUGGGAAAGAUAUUGUUUCGGUGGGGGAUGGGCUCGCGGCCUAUCAGCUUGUUGGUGGGGUGAUGGCCUACCAAGGCGGUGACGGGUAGCCGGCCUGAGAGGGUGGACGGUCACACUGGGACUGAGACACGGCCCAGACUCCUACGGGAGGCAGCAGUGGGGAAUAUUGCACAAUGGGCGCAAGCCUGAUGCAGCGACACCGCGUGAGGGAUGGAGGCCUUCGGGUUGUGAACCUCUUUCGCCAGUGAAGCAGGCCUGCCUCGUUUGUGGGUGGGUUGACGGUAGCUGGAUAAGAAGCGCCGGCUAACUACGUG